CAGUUUUGUUUUGUUUUAAGAAAUGAACCUGCUCAUUUCUGUUGUAACUUUUUCCUCUGUAGGCAUUUCUGGGCACAGCGUGUUUUUCCCAAGUCUGGGCUAAAGGACGAUUCUGAUUCUGAUUCUGAUUCUGUGAUUGUUUCAAGACCACAUGAAAUAAAGAGGAUUCCUCAUGAAGAUUCUUUAAAAAAUUUGUCUUCUCAGAAACAACUGACCUUGGAGGAUCUAAGUGAUGAGAAAGAUUCCGUUUCCAAUAUAGCCCCAGAAAUAAAGGAUGGAUCAACAUCUGAGACAGUGCAUCCUGCCGUUGACAAGCAUUUAAACAGGCAUUUCUGGGCACAGCGUGUUUUUCCCAAGUCUGGGCUAAAGGACGAUUCUGAUUCUGAUUCUGAUUCUGUGAUUGUUUCAAGACCACAUGAAAUAAAGAGGAUUCCUCAUGAAGAUUCUUUAAAAAAUUGUAAGCUGUUUAAGCCUUUCUAUUAUAUUAUUUACUGAUUCUUCUUUUUUCUUUUCUUUCUUUGUUUCUGUUUUUUUUUUUUAAUUUUAAGACACAGUCUCAUACUUUCUGCUGCCCAGGCUAGAGUGCAAUGGCACAGACAUGGCUCAUUGCAACAUCCAUCUCUUGGAAUCAAGUGAUUCUCCUGCCCCCACCUCCCUAGUAGCUGGCACUACAGGUGUGUGCCACCACACCAGCUAAUUUUUGUAUCAUUAGAAGCGAUGGGGUUUCACCAUGUUGGCCAUGAUGGUCUCAAUCACCUGACUUCCAGGGAUUCUGCCUCCCAAAGUGCUGGGAUUACAAGCUUUAGCCACCAUGUCCGGUGUGCAUGAUUAUUUCUAUAAAGAUAGAAUCUUGCUAUGUUGGCCUGGCUGGUCUCAAACUCCUGGGUUGCUCAAGUGAUACUUCUGUCUCAGCCUUCUGAGUAGCUGAGAUUAUAUUAACAAGCCACUGUGCCCUUUUAUGUUUUUAAUAUUCUAUCCUGUGUUUGUCUAUACUAGCCUUUGUUACUCUUGGGCAUCGGAGACAUAUGUUUUGUUGACGUUAGUUAUUUGAAUGAGAUAAACAUGAAUAUACGUACAUUCACUUUGUUUUUUGAGGAGCUAACUUUUGGAUCAAAUAGCAGUUUAAUAAAAGUUCUUUAGUGAAAAACAUGAUACUUCAAACCAGACUAUAUUGGAAAGAAAAUAAUGUUGAAAUCAUUAAUUGACUCCCAAAUAGUUUAUUUUCAAUGAAUAUUGGAGUGAUAUCUGAAUGUAGAAGCUUAUUAAUAUCUAGUGCUUGUAGCAGUUUUAUUUAGUAGAAGUAUGUCAAAACUGAUAAAGGAUGAUACUGUUUAUUGAGGCCUAUGAGUCUUACCGUGUUGCAUGAGUGUGUGAAGAAACUUUCAGCAAGCUCAAGUAGAGGAUUCCCUCAAUGUAGGAAAGUCAUUACACCACAAGGGUUUGAGAAAUAAUGGAUAUUAUCUACAAGUAUUCACCCAACUUAUAUCCAAGCUGAUCUAUUUAGGACCCUUCCCUGUAGACAUGAAGUAUACAUUCAACUGAAGUGUCAUUGUAAUUGUGUACCUUCUCAGUUAUUGGGCAAGUUAAAGAGCAUGAGGAAUAUUUGUAGUCUAGUGCUAUAAAUUCUUUUGAUAUGUUGCAUGAACGAUAUGUGAGAGUAGUGCCACCUGCUUUGACAUUGAUUCCCAGGUGUCUGAGUUGCUUCUCUGGUUUUAGAUCACAUUGGUCCUCAUUCCUCAGCAUACUGACAUUGAUACUGAUACUCUCUUAUUUUUGAAAUAUUUAUAUGAAAAAUUACAUCGCAUUUGAAAUUGUCAGAGUAUAUAUUGUGAAGCCUGUAUUGUUGUUUUCUUCAGUGUGUUUCUGUCAUGUUCCUGUUUCAAGACACAAAGUAUAAAACCUCAAAGCCUACACGAAUACGGGCAGGAAAAGACAGGUUGAUGCUAAUAUGGAAUGAAUGUAUCUAUAUCUUUACCACAUUUACAUAUGGUUUAUUAUGUAUCCCUUUUUCUUUUCAGUGUCUUCUCAGAAACAACUGACCUUGGAGGUAAUUACACCCUCAUUUGUAUUUUGAACUAUUAACUGUGUAGUCUAUGAUAUAUUCUUUAUGUGUUGAUUAUUUUUCUUCAAAUCCCCUUCAGGCUAUAAGUGAUGAGAAAGAUUCCGUUUCCAAUAUAGCCCCAGAAAUAAAGGAUGGAUCAACAUCUGAGACAGGUAAUUUUAUAAAUAAACAUUUUAUGUCAGGUUAAUGCAAGGUAGAAGGGAAGUUCCCUUCCCAAAUAAAUUAGCAGUGGGCUCAUUGAAACUGCACAUUCUGUUUCAGGAAGCCUAAGUUUCUGCAUUGUAAUAAGUUAUUUGGUGCCAUUGAUGCUGCUCGUCAUUUUCCGUGAUCUGAGUAGUAUCAUUGUAAACCUCUCUACAUCAAAACUAAAUAGAAGAACCUCUGAAGAGCAAUGCAACAGAUAGCAAGCUAAAAGGACAGCAUUAUUUUGCUUUAAUUCUACAGCAUGUUUUCAUCAAGAGGGGAAAGAGGAAUAUUUGAAGCAAUAGAAAGUGUAGACAUCAGACGAUAUCACAAAAAGCAGAGGGAAGAAGUGAUCGUAACAACCCGUGAACACUGUAGAACAACAACUAAGGACACCACUGAUGGAGUAAUUACUUUCCUUAAGGGAGAGAGAUUGUGAGGCAGGAGGGAGUGAAAAGAAGAAGUUAUUUGUGUAAUUUUGGGGAUUCUGCUGAGGAAACCUGAGUGAACUCUCUUUAGUUGUACAUAGAAUAUUUGCAUAAAAGAUUUUUUUGUGGUUGAUCCAGGAACUACUGGAAGCAGAAAGGAGAGCUGGAAUACAGAUAAAUCACACUGACCCAUUGCUCCUCUUCGUUACUGUUAGGCAACAGGGAUACAUUUUUUUAUUUUAGUUAUAAAAAUCAGAUAAACUUGAAUAUGAAUACAUUGCCUUUGUUGUUCAAGGAGGUAACUCUUGGAACACAUAGCUAUUUAAUCAAAAUUCUUUAGAGAAUAAUAUGCUAUUUUAAAGAAG
ensembl:lncRNA